UACGUAGGGGGCAAGCGUUGUCCGGAUUUAUUGGGCGUAAAGAGCGUGUAGGCGGCCAUGCAGGUCAGCUGUGAAAACUCGAGGCUCAACCUCGAGACGUCGGUUGAAACCGUGUGGCUAGAGUCCGGAAGAGGAGAGUGGAAUUCCCGGUGUAGCGGUGAAAUGCGCAGAUAUCGGGAAGAACACCUAUGGCGAAGGCAGCUCUCUGGGACGGUACUGACGCUGAGACGCGAAAGCGUGGGGAGCGAACAGG
rnacentral:rRNA from 1 species